AAGGGCUUGAGAUCAGACUUGGUAUUUUGCGUUCCCUUCCUUUUUGGUUGGGUUCCUCGCAGUUUACUGGGCCAGCAUCGGUUUGGAUGGUAGGAUAAUGACAUUGGAAUGUAGCUUUACUUCGGUGAAGUGUUAUAGACUUUGUUGAUACUGCCUAUCUAGACCGAGGACUGCGUCUUUGACUAGGAUGCUGGCGUAAUGAUCUUAAGCCG
rnacentral:rRNA from 1 species